rnacentral:rRNA from 1 species
UGCGUAGGGGGCAAGCGUUAUCCGGAUUUACUGGGUGUAAAGGGAGCGUAGACGGCGAUGCAAGUCUGAAGUGAAAGGCGGGGGCCCAACCCCCGGACUGCUUUGGAAACUGUAUGGCUGGAGUGCAGGAGAGGUAAGUGGAAUUCCUAGUGUAGCGGUGAAAUGCGUAGAUAUUAGGAGGAACACCAGUGGCGAAGGCGGCUUACUGGACUGUAACUGACGUUGAGGCUCGAAAGCGUGGGGAGCAAACAGG